AUUGAACGCUGGCGGCAUGCUUUACACAUGCAAGUCGAACGGUAACAGGCCGCAAGGUGCUGACGAGUGGCGAACGGGUGAGUAAUGCAUCGGAACGUGCCCAGUCGUGGGGGAUAACGCAGCGAAAGCUGCGCUAAUACCGCAUACGAUCUAUGGUUGAAAGCGGGGGACCGAAAGGCCUCGCGCGAUUGGAGCGGCCGAUGUCAGAUUAGCUAGUUGGUGGGGUAAAGGCCUACCAAGGCAACGAUCUGUAGCUGGUCUGAGAGGAUGAUCAGCCACACUGGGACUGAGACACGGCCCAGACUCCUACGGGAGGCAGCAGUGAGGAAUUUUGGACAAUGGGGGCAACCCUGAUCCAGCCAUUCCGCGUGAGUGAAGAAGGCCUUCGGGUUGUAAAGCUCUUUCGGCAGGAACGAAACGGCGAGCUCUAACAUAGCUUGCUAAUGACGGUACCUGAAGAAGAAGCACCGGCUAACUACGUGCCAGCCGCCGCGGUAACAC
rnacentral:rRNA from 1 species